GACUCCCUCUAGGGAAGUACUCCCAGCUGCCCAGAGUCAUCCUCCUCCAUCCCACUGACCUUCCACCCCUGACCAAUCAGGAGAUGUUUCCAGUUUAUUGGUGAAUUUAUUAGGGCUCAGAGAUGAUGACCUAUCCAAGGUCACACUGCCAACUGGAUGUAAGACAAGUCUCUGAACCCAGUGUGCCCCUGCCAGAAAGUAGCAGGGAUUACAGAAGUCCAGCAGAGGUCUGCCGCCUUGGACCCUACCUCUUACACAUUGAGAGUGGUUUCCGCGGUGAUGGGGAAGUUCUGUCAACCCUGGCCUGCUUUGGGACACCCGUGGACCUCCCCAGAGCUGGUGGUGAAAGUUCCUGGAGGAUGCCAAGACAGGAGGAUUGCUUGAGGCCAGGUAUUCAAGACCAGCCUGGGCAACACAGACAUUGCAACAUCCCUGUCUUUACCAAAAAAGGAAAAAAUUAGCCAGGCAUGGUGGCAUGCACCUAUGGGCCUAGUUACUCAAGAGGCUGAGGUGGGAAGAUAGCUUGAGCCCAGGAGUUCAAAGUUACAGUGAGCUAUGAUCGCAUCACUGCACUCCACCCUGGGUGACAGAAUAAGACCAUGUCUCAAAAAACAAAGAAACAAACAAACCAGCCUGGGACCUCCUCCCUGCUUUGCUUCCUCCUUCAGCAUGUGUGAUCUCUUU
rnacentral:lncRNA from 1 species